GAUGAACGCUGACAGCAUGCUUAACACAUCAGCAAUUGAUUGGUGGCGGACGGGUGCGUAACGCGUAAAGAACUUGCCUCACAGCUAGGGACAACAUUUGGAAACGAAUGCUAAUACCUAAUACUGUGAGAGAGCUUUGCGUCCCAUUAGCUAGUUGGAGAGGUAACGGCUCACCAAGGCGAAGAUGGGUAGCCGGCCUGAGAGGGUAAUCGGGCACAAGGGGAUGGGGACACGGCCAUUACUCCUACGGGAGGCAGUAGGGGGGAAUAUUGGACAAUGGACCAAAGUCUGAUCCAGCAAUUCGGUGUGCAAGAUGCAGUUUUCGGAAUGUAAAGUGCUUUCCGAAGGGAAGCGGUACCAACAGAAGAAGUGACGGCUAAAUACGUGCCAGCAGCCGCGGUAAUAC
rnacentral:rRNA from 1 species